AUUAUCCAAGAAGAGUCGAACACGUUACAUCAACGGCAAAUAAAGGCGAACAUAAGCACUAUAUCACCACAACAUUUCCUGAUGAUGAUGCCCUCUAAAUGAUUAAUCGCGUGUAAAGUCCUCGCUUUACUCGCUUCUCUGUCGAAUUAUGAACAAGCCAUGGUUUUCUUGGAGAAAAGGUGGAAGCUUUGAUUCUGAAGGAACUGCAUAAAGUUUGGAGCUUUGUCAAAGAAACAUAAAAAAGAAGGAAGCUUCGAGCUAAAUUAAGAAAGUUCUAAAGCUUUGUCAAAAAAAAAAAAAAAAGGUGACACCCUGUCCCUAUGAAGCUCGGAAGACGGAGGCAUCGCGAACGGGAGGAUAGAGAAGAAUCGGGACUAGUAUAAAGUAGGAGGAUGUUGUGAGAUCUGCAAUUAAAAGCAACAGAAGAAGAAGAUCGUUGGUGUUCUUGGUCAAAGACACCAGAGUUGGAGGAUGGAAGAUUCAUGCUGAAAGAGAAAGACCGAAUCGGUGGAGGUGAUUUCUGGUCUGUGAAAUCGGAAACCACUCCCCUCCAAUGGCACAAGAGCCUGCCACAAAGCAAGUUUGGUACAAAGAACCUGUUUGUGGAUUUGUUAUAACCAUUGAAGGGAGAACACUAGGUCAUAGAUGUUGUUGUUAAGAAUCUGUGGUUUAUAAAGUAGCGUGAGGAUGGUGUAUGGUCACGGUUAAAGAUGGAUUCAGGGUUCAUGAGAGGCAUGAGACAACUUUCUCUGGCUUAAUUCUAUGAAAUGGGAAUCGGUUCAAAUCUUGAAAGACAAAUUGUUUGAUUCCCUGCCAGUACAAGGAUCAGUCUCAGUCUCGAUGUUAAAUGUUAAAGAUUCUUGCGAGUCAAAUAAACUCAUGUUUUAAUAAUCAAGGCAGAUCAUUAAUGGAGCUUGUAGCAGCAAAGAUAAUAUCCAUAUAAACUGGAUCAAGGGUUCUUUGUGUUUGUUCCUGGUUAUUUUGAGGUGCUUAUGUGCUGGAACAGUUGGACUUAUGUUGGAGCAACAAGCAAGUGUUUUCUCAAUGAUGGACAGACAGUCAUAGGUUCAUUAAGUAGGGAAGAACUAAAGUGACAUCAGAGCCAAUACGGAGGCUUUUGACGCAUUUGAUUCAUGUGUGAAUAACAUACCCCCGCUUGCUAGAACAUGAUACUUAUGUGGGAACAACAUGAUUUUGUAAGUGGCUGACUUAACAACCCAAGGUUUUUGUAUGGCCCCUUUGUGGUGUAGAUCAGUAAAAAGUCAACUUUGUGUACUAGAGUUCUAGCACAAUCUGGUUAUCCCUAAGCAAAAUUUAUGUACUUGGCUCUUACACUGAAUUGUAACCCCAUAAGAAGAAACCGAUUAGCAAAUUGGUGAUUUAACCAA